CCAAAGUAGCGGCGAGCGAAAUGGAAAGAGCCCAAACCUAAGCCUUUGGCUUAGGGGUUGAGGACAGAACAUAAAUGCACAAAUUUUUUAGUCGAAGACAGCUGGAAAGCUGCUCCGCAGAAGGUAAUAGGCCUGUAGACAAAAAGAAAUGAGUGAAAGUUCUGAUCCAGAGUACCACGAGACACGUGAAACCUUGUGGGAAGCAGGGAGGACCACCUCCCAAG
rnacentral:rRNA from 1 species